rnacentral:lncRNA from 1 species
CGUAGUAAGCUUGAAAUGUAGUUUAUCAAAUGAUCAUGGACUUGUAGUUAACUAUUCAUGAAUUUUGAGAAAUAGAUUUGGUAUUUGAUUUUGAAUUUAGAUUCUUUGAAACAAUCUUGAUUUAAUUACUUAAUGAAUGAUGGAAUUGAAUCUUUUAUUAUAUUUUAUUUGUGAUAAAUUUUAGCUGAUUAUGAUUGAUAGACUUUGUGUUAU